GCUGCCAAGCCGCUGUCCGCCGGGAAGCGGCGAUUCUGCCACCCAGAGGUCUGGGGAAAGCUCAGGAAGAGAGAGUUCGAAUAGAUGACUUUGAAGACUUACAGAGCUGAGAUAUGAAGAUUUUGAAGUCAUUCUAUAUCUGAAGCUAUGAUUUAAAUAUCAGCAUUACAAUUUCAACCAGAAAAACUUAAACUGCGUUGGAUUACCAAGUCAAAGAAAAGUUUCAAGCUUUCAGAAAGAGUUCUGGCUUGAAGAUAAAGAACAGCUUGCUAACCACAGAAGAAGAAUCG